GACGCCCCCCACCCCCUCUAGUUCGGCCUCUCCAUUCAAGUUCGCCGGCCCCGGCCGCCGGGAUCCGGAGAUGGCACCAGCCGCCCGCCCAGCCCUGCGCCCUUUUUCCAGCCACCGCGCAGAAAUUUAGGUCAAGGACGUCGGGAUCAAACCCAAACCCUGGCGCUCUUCGGCGGGCCCCGAGACCCCCCAGGAUCGGGGAGCUUCAGGAUUGAGGAGACCCUCCCGCACAAACAGCAGCCACAAGUUUUAUUUUCCUUUGGCGCUGGAAGUUCUCUCUGGCUCUGGCUCCACACCGGCACGUCUUGCGCCGCUCCCCGCCCUUCCCCGGCAGAGGAUUAGGACACAAUGGAAUACAUUCAACAGCAAAACUAUACCAAAUCCACUGUGGGUCGUGGCAAAGUGGAAUAUUUGGAAAAUCCCAACACUAGCCAAAGCCUUGGAUGACCAGAUUCUUAAUCUCCCUGCCUCCUACAUUUGGGAUAAUUCCUCACUGAUAGGAUUGAUGGGGUGAGAGGAGAGAUUGAAGAUUGCAUUUCACUGCCAAGCCAAGUGCCUCUCUGAUUAAAGAGUAUGUUCACUUCAUCUCUCGUAGUCUCUUACAAGCCUACUCUUAAGAAUAGACAUGGCAGACUUUGCACCAAAAAAGCAAACCAUAUUUUUACCAGAAACUAUUUAGUGAAAUGAGUUUUUAGUCAUGAAAAUUUCACCAAGUAUAAAUUUCAUGUCUGAAAGUAAUGGGCCCUUUGUAUUUCCC